ACGCUGGCGGCGUGCCUAACACAUGCAAGUCGAACGGGGUAGAUUCCUUCGGGGAUCUACUUAGUGGCGGACGGGUGAGUAACGCGUGAGCAACCUGCCUUUCAGAGGGGGACAACAGUUGGAAACGACUGCUAAUACCGCAUAACGUAUAUUUGGGACAUCCCUGAUAUACCAAAGGAGCAAUCCGCUGAAAGAUGGGCUCGCGUCCGAUUAGAUAGUUGGUGAGGUAACGGCUCACCAAGUCGACGAUCGGUAGCCGGACUGAGAGGUUGAACGGCCACAUUGGGACUGAGACACGGCCCAGACUCCUACGGGAGGCAGCAGUGGGGGAUAUUGCACAAUGGAGGAAACUCUGAUGCAGCAACGCCGCGUGAGGGAAGAAGGUUUUCGGAUUGUAAACCUCUGUUUUUAGUGAAGAAACAAAUGACGGUAGCUAAAGAGGAAGCCACGGCUAACUACGUG
rnacentral:rRNA from 1 species